GAUGGCGAUGCGUCCCAUUAGCUAGUUGGCGGGGUAACGGCCCACCAAGGCUCCGAUGGGUAGGGGUUCUGAGAGGAAGGCCCCCCACACUGGUACUGAGACACGGACCAGACUCCUACGGGAGGCAGCAGUGAGGAAUAUUGGUCAAUGGCCGGAAGGCUGAACCAGCCAAGUCGCGUGAGGGAAUAAGGCCCUACGGGUCGUAAACCUCUUUUGCCAGGGAGCAAUGCCGUCCACGUGUGGACGGAAGGAGAGUACCUGGAGAAAAAGCAUCGGCUAACUCCGUGCCAGCAGCCGCGGUAAUACGGAGGAUGCGAGCGUUAUCCGGAUUUAUUGGGUUUAAAGGGUGCGUAGGCGGCCUGCCAAGUCAGCGGUAAAAUUGCGGGGCUCAACCCCGUACAGCCGUUGAAACUGCCGGGCUCGAGUGGGCGAGAAGUAUGCGGAAUGCGUGGUGUAGCGGUGAAAUGCAUAGAUAUCACGCAGAACCCCGAUUGCGAAGGCAGCAUACCGGCGCCCGACUGACGCUGAGGCACGAAAGUGCGGGGAUCAAACAGGAUUAGAUACCCUGGUAGUCCGCACAGUAAACGAUGAAUGCUAGCUGU
rnacentral:rRNA from 1 species